UACGUAGGGGGCUAGCGUUGUCCGGAAUCAUUGGGCGUAAAGGGCGCGUAGGCGGCUGUACAAGUCAAAGGUGAAAUCCCUCGGCUCAACUGAGGAACUGCCUUUGAAACUGUACGGCUUGAGGCCGGGAGGGGGUAGCGGAAUUCCCAAUGUAGCGGUGAAAUGCGUAGAUAUUGGGAGGAACACCAGUGGCGAAGGCGGCUACCUGGACCGGUUCUGACGCUGAGGCGCGAAAGCGUGGGUAGCAAACAGG
rnacentral:rRNA from 1 species